rnacentral:rRNA from 1 species
GAUGAACGCUGGCGGCGUGCUUAACACAUGCAAGUCGAACGGGAUCCAUCAGGCUUUGCUUGGUGGUGAGAGUGGCGAACGGGUGAGUAAUGCGUGACCGACCUGCCCCAUACACCGGAAUAGCUCCUGGAAACGGGUGGUAAUGCCGGAUGCUCCGACUCCUCGCAUGGGGUGUCGGGAAAGAUUUCAUCGGUAUGGGAUGGGGUCGCGUCCUAUCAGGUAGUCGGCGGGGUAACGGCCCACCGAGCCUACGACGGGUAGCCGGCCUGAGAGGGCGACGGGCCACAUUGGGACUGGGGUACGGACCAGACUCCUACGGGAGGCAGCAGUGGGGAAUAGUGCACAAUGGGCGCAAGCCUGAUGCAGCGACGCCGCGUGCGGGAUGACGGCCUUCGGGUUGUAAACCGCUUUUGAUCGGGAGCAAGCCUUCGGGUGAGUGUACCUUUCGAAUAAGCACCGGCUAACUACGUGCCAGCAGCCGCCGUAA